UACAGAGGGGGGCAAGCGUUAUUCGGAAUUAUUGGGCGUAAAGGGCGCGUAGGCGGCUUUUCAAGUGACGGGUGAAAUCCCUCGGCUUAACCGAGGAACUGCCUGUCAGACUGGAAGGCUUGAGACCGGGAGAGGUGAGUGGAAUUCCCAGUGUAGCGGUGAAAUGCGUAGAUAUUGGGAGGAACACCAGUGGCGAAGGCGGCUCACUGGACCGGAACUGACGCUGAGGCGCGAAAGCGUGGGGAGCAAACGGGG
rnacentral:rRNA from 1 species